rnacentral:rRNA from 1 species
UACGUAGGGACCAAGCGUUGUUCGGAUUUACUGGGCGUAAGGGCGCGAGUAGGCGGCAAUUCAAGUCAGCUGUGAAAAUCUCCGGGCUUAACUCGGAACGGUCAGCUGAUACUGCUUUGCUAGAGUACAGAAGGGGCAAUCGGGAAUUCUUGGAUGUAGCGGUGAAAUGACGUAGAUAUCAAAGAGGGAACACCUGAGGUGAAGACGGGUUGCUGGGCUGAUACUGACGCUGGAGACACGAAAGCGUGGGUAGCAAACAGG